rnacentral:pre_miRNA from 10 species
GGUGCAGCCAAGGACCCGCGGCCGGCGGGGAAACCGUUACCAUUACUGUGUUUAGUAAUGGUAAUGGUUCUGCCGACGGCUGGGCGUGCGGCACGGCGUGGC